UGGGGAAUCUUGGACAAUGGGCGCAAGCCUGAUCCAGCCAUGCCGCGUGAGUGAAGAAGGCCUUCGGGUUGUAAAGCUCUUUUACCAGGGACGAUAAUGACGGUACCUGGAGAAUAAGCCCCGGCAAACUUCGUGCCAGCAGCCGCGGUAAUACGAAGGGGGCUAGCGUUGUUCGGAAUUACUGGGCGUAAAGCGCACGUAGGCGGAUUGUUAAGUCAGAGGUGAAAUCCCGGAGCUCAACUUCGGAACUGCCUUUGAUACUGGCAAUCUAGAGUCCGGAAGAGGUUAGUGGAAUUCCCAGUGUAGAGGUGAAAUUCGUAGAUAUUAGGAAGAACACCAGUGGCGAAGGCGGCCAACUGGCUCGAUACUGACGCUGAGGUGCGAAAGCGUGGUGAGCAAACAGGAUUAGAUACCCACGUAGUCCCUGAGCGGGCUGGCAAGGCGCAU
rnacentral:rRNA from 1 species